rnacentral:rRNA from 2 species
AGACCCGAAACCCGGUGAUCUAGCCAUGGGCAGGUUGAAGGUUGGGUAACACUAACUGGAGGACCGAACCGACUAAUGUUGAAAAAUUAGCGGAUGACUUGUGGCUGGGGGUGAAAGGCCAAUCAAACCGGGAGAUAGCUGGUUCUCCCCGAAAGCUAUUUAGGUAGCGCCUCGUGAAUUCAUCUCCGGGGGUAGAGCACUGUUUCGGCAAGGGGGUCAUCCCGACUUACCAACCCGAUGCAAACUGCGAAUACCGGAGAAUGUUAUCACGGGAGACACACGGCGGGUGCUAACGUCCGUCGUGAAGAGGGAAACAACCCAGACCGCCAGCUAAGGUCCCAAAGUCAUGGUUAAGUGGGAAACGAUGUGGGAAGGCCCAGACAGCCAGGAUGUUGGCUUAGAAGCAGCCAUCAUUUAAAGAAAGCGUAAUAGCUCACUGGUCGAGUCGGCCUGCGCGGAAGAUGUAACGGGGCUAAACCAUGCACCGAAGCUGCGGCAGCGACACUGUGUGUUGUUGGGUAGGGGAGCGUUCUGUAAGCCUGUGAAGGUGUGCUGUGAGGCAUGCUGGAGGUAUCAGAAGUGCGAAUGCUGACAUAAGUAACGAUAAAGCGGGUGAAAAGCCCGCUCGCCGGAAGACCAAGGGUUCCUGUCCAACGUUAAUCGGGGCAGGGUGAGUCGACCCCUAAGGCGAGGCCGAAAGGCGUAGUCGAUGGGAAACAGGUUAAUAUUCCUGUACUUGGUGUUACUGCGAAGGGGGGACGGAGAAGGCUAUGUUGGCCGGGC